rnacentral:rRNA from 1 species
AAUAGAUACCCUGGUAGUCCAUGCCGUAAACGAUGUCUACUAGCCGUUGGGGCCUUUGAGGCUUUAGUGGCGCAGCUAACGCGAUAAGUAGACCGCCUGGGGAGUACGGUCGCAAGACUAAAACUCAAAUGAAUUGACGGGGGGCCCGCACAAGCGGUGGAGCAUGUGGUUUAAUUCGAUGCAACGCGAAGAACCUUACCUGGUCUUGACAUAGUAAGAACUUUCCAGAGAUGGAUUGGUGCCUUCGGGAACUUACAUACAGGUGCUGCAUGGCUGUCGUCAGCUCGUGUCGUGAGAUGUUGGGUUAAGUCCCGCAACGAGCGCAACCCUUUUCCUUAUUUGCCAGCGGGUUAAGCCGGGAACUUUAAGAAUACUGCCAGUGACAAACUGGAGGAAGGCGGGGACGACGUCAAGUCAUCAUGGCCCUUACGACCAGGGCUACACACGUGCUACAAUGGUCGGUACAAAGGGUUGCUACCUAGCGAUAGGAUGCUAAUCUCAAAAAGCCGAUCGUAGUCCGGAUUGGAGUCUGCAACUCGACUCC